AUAAAGUUCUCUGCCUUUUGGCUAAGAUAAAGUGUAGCAUCUGUUCUUAUCCAUUUAAUAUCUGAUACAUGCCCUAUCCAGGGACCAUAUAUUAAAGUGAUUUUUGGAACAGGGAGAUGGAAUAGGGGCUUGCUCUGUCCACUCCAUGCAUCAACUUGGUAUUGCAGUAUUGCCAGGAAUGGUGCACCCCCC